rnacentral:rRNA from 1 species
CAAAGGAAUUGACGGGGCCCGCACAAGCGGAGGAACAUGUGGUUUAAUUCGAUGAUACGCGAGGAACCUUACCUGGGCUUAAAUGUAGAGUGCAUUUUUUAGAGAUAGAAAUUCCCUUCGGGGCUUUCUGCAAGGUGCUGCAUGGUUGUCGUCAGCUCGUGCCGUGAGGUGUCGGGUUAAGUCCCAUAACGAGCGCAACCCUUAUCGUUAGUUGCCAUCUGGUAAUGCAGGGGACUCUAGCGAAACUGCCACCGUAAGGUGAGAGGAAGUGGGGAUGACGUCAAAUCAGCACGGCCCUUAUGUCCAGGGCUACACACGUGUUACAAUGGUCGGUACAGAGGGCAGCUACCUGGUGACAGGAUGCUAAUCUCGAAAACCGGUCUCAGUUCGGAUCGAAGUCUGCAACUCGACUUCGUGAAGCCGGAUUCGCUAGUAAUCGCGCAUCAGCUAUGGCGCGGUGAAUACGUUCCCGGGCCUU